CCAUCUCCAGGGAAAUGGUUCUCCGCUGCUCGGGAGUCACAAUGUUCUUGUUUGCCUCCUGUGACUCAGCAGGCAGCUCCAGAUGGCUUCCUGCCCUUCUAGCCCUGCUGGCUGGGUGCUAAUCGCAAAGGCGAGUUGGAGUCCUCCUGACCCAGCUCUCCGCUGCAAAGCCUUGCUGCCCCGUUUGCACAGGUUGCUCACUCUCUCUUUCUGGCCUCCCCCAGAGUAUGUAUGCUCCACACUUUGAAGGUUCAAGCCACACAUUUCGCUGUAUCGUGCUCCUUGAAACCUGCUUGACAUAAGAAAACCACAGGGGACAGCUGACCUGCUAAACAGCAGCCACGUUGAAGCGUCUCUGACAACCUACGUAUGAAGUCUGCAAGAAGCAGGAUUUGGGUUUGUUUUGUCCUCCAGCACCCAGAAGAGUGCCUGGCCCUCAGGAAAGUGACCUUUCUGAGCCCCAAACCACUGCCUAGGGAUGGUACUACCCACAGUGGGCUGAGCCCUCCUGUGCCAAUUCGAAUGCUCUCCAGAUGUGCCCACAAGCUGAUCUAAGGGAGGUAAUUCCU